CCAACAUGGAUGUAGAGACAGCUUCAGAGAGAGAUAAGGCGACAUUUGCGAUCCAAAUUGGUCAUCUAUCAAGUCGCAUAGCAGAAAUAAAAGAUGCUUGUUCAGGCUUUGAACAACUGCAACAUGAUAUCAAGACGAAUCAAGAUCUUCGUAUAUCAGAUAUAGUGAGAGCGUACUUUGCAGCGCUGCGCGUUUUGAACUCUUGGAAAAAGACUUCUCUUGAGGCUGUCAGGGAAAGAUAUUCGAGCUGGAUUCUUGAAUGUACAGCCUGCAAAAAAGACCUGGAAAUGCAGCUGGAAGAAACGCAAUCAACACAGCUGUCGUGUCAAAAGUUAUUGUCUUGUCCGGAAGUGGAAUUUUUACAGGUAAAACCACUGAGCCGAUUUUUCUUUAGCAGUGGCUUGUAAUUAUUACACUUUGGCGGGGGAAGGGCUAAUAUUAGAUGAUUUU